CGGGUGAGUAAUAUAUCGGAACGUAUCCAAUAAUGGGGGAUAACUAGUCGAAAGAUUAGCUAAUACCGCAUACGCCCUGAGGGGGAAAGCUGGGGAUCUUCGGACCUAGCGUUAAUGGAGCGGCCGAUAUCUGAUUAGCUAGUAGGUGAGGUAAGAGCUCACCUAGGCGACGAUCAGUAGCUGGUCUGAGAGGACGACCAGCCACACUGGAACUGAGACACGGUCCAG
rnacentral:rRNA from 1 species